AUGUCGCGUACUUUGUUCAACCGCAUAGCUGAUGGUAUACUUGAGCAUGACUAUGAUGAUUAUUUUACACAAAAAAGAAGUGCUUCUAGAGCUCUUGGGUUACAUCCUUUGCAAAAGAUGACCGCGGCGAUGCGGAUACUAACAUAUGGAAUAGCAGCUGAUUAUGUUGAUGAGUACAUCCGGUCCGCUGAGUCUACUAAUUUAGAGUCUUGCAAGAAAUUUGUGAUCAAAAUUUGUGAAGUUUUUGGGGAAAAGUAUCUGAGAUCUCCAAAUGAAGAAGACAUUGCUAGGUUACUUGCAAUAGGGGAGGAAAGAGGAUUUCCCGAUGGUAUCUAUCCACGGUGGGCAACAUUUGUGAAGAGCAUACCAGCUCCAACUAGCAGAAAGCAUAAAACUUUUGCCAAGAAGCAAGAGGGGGCUAGGAAAGAUGUGGAACGAGCCUUUGGAGUUCUGCAAUCCCGUUUUGCCAUUGUUCGUGGACCUGCUAAAGGAUGGAAACGUAAAGAAAUCACUGAUGUCAUGAAAGCUUGUGUCAUAAUGCACAAUAUGAUAGUUGAAGAGGAGCGGCAAACUGGUCGACAAAGCUGCACUUUUGAGGCAAUGGGAGAAAGAGUCACAGUCUCU
rnacentral:rRNA from 1 species